GUGGGGAAUUUUGGACAAUGGGCGAAAGCCUGAUCCAGCCAUGCCGCGUGCAGGAAGAAGGCCUUCGGGUUGUAAACUGCUUUUGUCAGGAACGAAAGGCCACGGGUGAAUAAUCUGUGGAUAUGACGGUACCUGAAGAAUAAGCACCGGCUAACUACGUGCCAGCAGCCGCGGUAAUACGUAGGGUGCGAGCGUUAAUCGGAAUUACUGGGCGUAAAGCGUGCGUAGGCGGUUUUGUAAGACCGAUGUGAAAUCCCCGGGCUUAACCUGGGAACUGCAUUGGUUACUGCAAGGCUUGAGUACGGUAGAGGGGGAUGGAACUCCGCGUGUAGCAGUGAAAUGCGUAGAUAUGCGGAAGAACACCAAUGGCGAAGGCAGUCCCCUGGGCCUGUACUGACGCUCAUGCACGAAAGCGUGGGGAGCAAACAGGAUUAGAAACCCGAGUAGUCC
rnacentral:rRNA from 1 species